CCUAGUGUAUCCGUAUCACAUAUGUUUGUGUACAAAAAAAAAGAAAAUGCAUUAGGGAAAGCGACAUAAAAUCCAACACAACCUCUUACAAGAAAAAAGAAAUCAUCAGGUUUAGACCCCAUGCCCAGAUAGUGAAUAUAUAGACCGGUGCGGCGAAUGUAAACACCAGUUACAUGCACACCUCCGUCUGGGAAGGUGGGUGCAAGGUCCUUGGAUAAGAGAAGCCAGCUCACGGGGUGUAUGUGUGUGUGGGAGAAGAAAUCGAAAAAAAAAAUUGUAAAAUAUUUGAAAGGAUACGAAAAUGGAACGAAUUUUUGGGUCUUUCAGAGUUUCUCAUCGAAGGACAUAGAUGUGUUUUGAGUUGAUUUCGUGAUUCCUAUUUCGAUAUACCAGAGCCUGCCUCCCUUCCCCCUUUGGCACCAUGGACGCCAACGCCACAUGGGACGCCAACGCCACAUGGGACGCCAACGCCACGGCAGUAGGCAGUCCGGAGCUGCAGGUGCUACAGGAUGUUGUCUAUCACUACGUCAUGCCGGUGCUGAUUAUCACAGGUGUGCUGACCAACGUGAUCAACAUCCUGACGCUCUGGAAGGUCAAUCAACUCCAGAAGCAUCAGCAGAACCGUCAAGCUCAGACGACCACAUACCGAUACCUCUUCUGGCUGGCGAUUGCGGAUAUGCUGGCCUCCCUUUCCCUUGUGCCCGCGAUCGUGUUUCUUGAAAGGGAAGAACUCCCUUAUGGAUGGGCGUUCUACUACGCCCACUUUGAAACUCCGCUGAUGAACGGGCUGACGAGUGCCAGUGUCUACAUCGUGGUGGGGCUGUCGGUGGACCGCUACAUCGCCGUGUGCCAUCCCAGGCGCUACGUCGAGAUCAGCGCGCCUCGCUUGGCUGCAAUCAGGAUAGUAUGCUCGUUCCUGGUCCCUUUGGUAUUGUAUUUUCCGCAGGCCUUUUUCCUGGAGGUCGUGUGUGCCGCGUCCGGAGCUGGGUGGACGUACCAGUCUAACCAAACCAACGAGUCGGCAAAGGAGCACUAUGAACUCUUUGUGGAGCUGUGUCAUCGCAUUUUCCCGGCCAUCAUCCUGGCUGUGCUCAACGGCUGCAUCAUCUACACCUUCCAAAAGACAACAACGAAGCGCAACCAGAUGAGGGGCAAGCAACUGGUGGCUAUGGUGCCCAGCUCGGCCAGCAAAGGGAAAGAGGACCAAAGCAGACGGCACCAGGAGAAGAGGCUCGUCUACCUCCUGGUGGCCAUCGUCGUGAGUUUCCUGGCGACUACUCUGCCCUCUGCAGUGCUGGCCCUCAUUGACAUUGACGGCGCCACUUACGGUUCUUUUGGCCUUGAAGUGUUUCGCGCGUUAGCCAAUUGCCUGGAGGCCUUCGGGCUGUCCCUGAACUUCGUGCUGUACUUCGUGUUCGUGAGCAGUGUGAGGGAGGUGCUCAAGAAAGCUGUGUGUGGCUUGGCCGCCCACGCGAAGGUUGACAGGGCAUGCUCUCACUCUUCCACUAGCAACUCAAAGAACACAGAAUGUGUCGAACUGUAAACUAAAUACACUUAGAGUAACACGAGAAAAUACAGCGAGAAGGGAAAUUCAAAACACAACCUUAGUUCGACAUAUUAACGGCUGCGGGAAAAGGAUCAAAUAAGGAUAUCGUUUAUAACAAAAAUCCAGAAGACAAAUAUUAACGGUAAGCAAGCAUAAUUAUCGACUGAGAGAGAGAAGGGGGGAGGGGGAGCAGGAGGAGAAGAGCGAGAAGGAAAGACAGAAGAGAUAAGAGAGAGGUUGAAGAGAGCGAGAGAGAGAGAGAGAGAGAGAGAGAGAGAGAGAGAGAGAGAGAGGAAGGGAGAGAGAGGGUAAUUUAGUUAAUUCCAUUUGCCACAGUGGUUAUUCUUAUGUUUGGUGUGACAGUUUGUUUUAGUUCUAAAUUACCCCCCGUGUCAAGGAAUGGCCGGGGUUACCAUCCGUUGGCAGUACGGGAAUUGAACGCGGGUCAGCACACUGCGCCACACACCACAGAGAGUGGGAGAGAGAGAGAGAGAGAGAGAGAGAGAGAGAGAGAGAGAGAGAGAGAGAGAGAGAGAGAGAGAGAGAGAGAGAGACAGACAGACAGACAGACAGAGACAGACAGACGGGGGGGGGGAGGAUGCCUGGCUGGGUAGAUUGAUAGAUAGAUUAAUGGAUAGAGAGAGGGGAAUAAUAAUAAUAAUAAUAAUAACAAUAAUAAUAAUAAGAGAGAGAGAGAGAGAGAUGAGGGUUGCUUGCCAGAUAGAUAUAUUGGUGGAUAGAGAGAAAGAGAGAAUUCUUCACACAAUAUGAGAUAAGAGUAAUCAUAGAACUGCAAAUGCUAGCUACCUCCCAGUGUUUUGCAGGCAGCCGACCAUCGAGCGCGCACUCUAGGUCACCGACGCCUGGCGAUCGAGCUGCCCAGUUGUCCAAGAACACAGGAUGAGCUUAUAACCACGCGACGAGUAAAGCAAAUCGAAUGUUGGAAAAAAAACUUGGUGUUUUUUUCCCGUUGUCCCAUCAUAACAAGUUCAAGUGCCAGGUAUAAGGGGCAUUCCAUUAUUUUGUUGUUAUGCUCGAUAAAGAAUGAUGUCUAGUCGGUGUUUUAGUGAUAAAUAAUAUUUAACGUCUGCCCGUAUCUGUCUACAAAUAGAUAGGUAAAUAAACAGGUCAUUGGAUAAUAAUACGUCCUUCUUCCAAAGAAUUCAAUAAUAAUCUUCAUAUAUAUAAAUGUGCAUUAGAGAAAGGCUGUGCUUUCAGGCUUAAAAUGUAAAUGUAAUGUAAAUGUAAAUGUGUGAUAUGUAAAGAAAAAAUACUACUGCGCAGUAUUAAUCAUUGUCACUAUAAUAAGUCCUUAUCUCGUAGCUAAAAUUUCCGCAAAAUCUGCCCCCAGGCACUGAGCGCAGAGCGCAUGGACAAGCCAAAUGACGGUGUUUAACAUUUGGUGUAAUUCAUUCAGUGUCCUUUACUCCUGCUAUGUUUUCGUUCGUUUAAUGUAUUUUAAUGGAUAGUGACAUGUACCCUGGACAUAUGCUUUGCGAUCCUGAUUUACAUCUGUGUUCUUUAUGAAAGGACAUGACUCAUAUAUGUCCUUUGUAUAUAUUAUAACUAAUGUGUUCGUAUGUUAAUCGUCUGAAACGUUACGAACGGUGUGAUAACGUAUAUCAGUGACGUCAUCUGAUUAGUCAUAUCAUCCGGAGCUAAAUCGAUCAUUGAGGAAAAGUUUACUUUAUGUGUUAUGUUGUAAAUAAAAGUAAAUGACAUACUCAAUUGAA